rnacentral:rRNA from 1 species
UACCAGCUCUCCGAGUGGUGUGGAUGUUUAUUGGGCCUAAAGCAUCCGUAGCUGGCUGGACAAGUCCCCUGUUAAAUCCACCGAUUUAAUCGUUGGAGUGCGGGGGAUACUGUUCGGCUAGGGGACGGGAGAGGCAGACGGUAUUUUCGGGGUAGGGGUGAAAUCCUAUAAUCCCGGGAAGACCACCAGUGGCGAAGGCUGUCUGCUAGAACGCGCCCGACGGUGAGGGAUGAAAGCUGGGGGAGCGAACCGGAUUAGAUACCCGGGUAGUCCCAGCUGUAAACGAUGCAGGCUAGGUGUUUGGACGGCCACGUGCCGUUCUAGUGCCGCAGGGAAGCCGUUAAGCCUGCCGCCUGGGGAGUACGGCCGCAAGGCUGAAACUUAAAGGAAUUGGCGGGGGAGCACCACAAGGGGUGAAGCUUGCGGUUU